rnacentral:ncRNA from 1 species
GCGCAACGCUAGGGGUGCGGGCUGCGCGUUUGCAGCAUCGCUGAGACAGUCCCUCCGAACCUGAUUGAGGUCAUCCUCGCGCAGGGAAGCAAGGUUGGCGGGUG